UACGAAGGGGGGCUAGCGUUGUUCGGAUUUACUGGGCGUAAAGCGCACGUAGGCGGAUUGUUAAGUCAGGGGUGAAAUCCUGGAGCUCAACUCCAGAACUGCCUUUGAUACUGAAGAUCUUGAGUUCGGGAGAGGUGAGUGGAACUGCGAGUGUAGAGGUGAAAAUUCGUAGAUAUUCGCAAGAACACCAGUGGCGAAGGCGGCUCACUGGCCCGAUACUGACGCUGAGGCACGAAAGCGUGGGGAGCAAACAGG
rnacentral:rRNA from 1 species